CCCCACUAACCUCAUUCCUGCUCCUGGACUAGAUGCUCCACUGACUAGAGAGAGAUGUGGGACCCUCCUGGAAAGGCAACAUGAUGUCCUGUGUGGUUAUUGUGGGAUCCUAAAGGCCUGUAUGCAUAGGCCACUUAUAAUUCCUUUUUAUAUUUGCACUUAGAGGAUGGGAGAUCAGUAAAAGAAGAAAAGAUCCUUGCAAGAAUACCACUGUACCUCUGGUUGUUAUGAUCACUCCCAGUUGUACAAAUGCCAUUGGUUGCUGAGUGCUUACUUCCAGCUUUGGGGUUCUUUGGUUUGCUGUCAGAGAAACUCUACUCAAAUGCCCUUCUCAGAAACUUAGAAAUCACAAACAAGUUGGAAGCCUUAGUGCAAGCACAGGAGGAAAAAAAUUGUAGGAAAAUGAAAGGUCUAAAAGAUAUGCAGGACAUCAUCAUGUGCAUCUCAGCAGAGGAGGAAUGACAGAGAUUGUCUCUGGGCCUGUCUGAAGCUGAGAUAGCCAAAAACUGCCAAUUACACUGAGAUGCAUUAAUAGAUAACAGAUCCAUAAACAUAUCUUUAAUACCAUGGCACACCAAGUGGAGUUCUCACACCUAUCCUGAACAUGAUACCGUAGGGCAGCAGGAAGCACUUCCUCUUAAAAUCCACAAGGACCGUCUACAUAAAAGUUCAAAGAUUAGUUCACAAAUUUUAAAAUCCAGUUUCAGACCCUUGAAAUCACCCCAGUUUUCUUCCUGUUCACAAUGGAAUAAAUACUGAAGCUAACUGCAGAUGAAAAAUUAAAUGAAACACCUCCUUCUUAAGCAACAAGUGGUAACAAAAGAAAAGGGAUUCAAAAAAAUCUGAAGCAAAAGUAAAAUAAGAAUACACUGAAACUUAUGGAAUACAGUAAAGGAGGAAAAAAACCCAAAAAACAAAAGCAAGAUGAUAACAGUGAAACUUUACAAUAAGGAUGAAGAAAAUUUGGAUCAAGUAACAACACAUCUGAAAAGGAAAACUGCCAACUAAAGACAACAGAAUCAAAAAGAAGGAGAGAAAAAAUGAGAACUAGAGCAGAAAGACUUGCUGUAGAGGACAGAAAUCAUCAGCCAAACAAUAUGCUCACUUUUUUGAAAAUAUCAACAAAAAUACCAGGCACAGUGUUUCGUGCCUAUACACCUUUUAGUGGGUUUGCUGCAGAGUCACAGGGGGUCAGCAACUAUGCCCAGUACUAUAGAAGAAAGGAGACUCAGGACCAUCUGAGAACAUCACUUUGCCUCAGUGACAGCCACCCCUGAUUCCUUUCUUUCUUACUCCUCUUCAGAACUUCUUGCUCAGAUAACAUGAAUCUUUAUGAGUCAAUCCUGGAUGGUGGAAACUUACUGUUUAAGGCUCAGAAUCAACACAUCUUUUUCCUCUUUCAUAGUCACACCCUGUCACAGAAGGUAUCUCAGCAUGUGGGAAGAUGUUCCCUAACCGCCCACUGCACCUAGGAGAUGCAGGGACAGUAAACUCCUGCAAGAAGGCC